AACGCACGAGACCUGCGGACCUGCGGAGGGAUCAUUAUGGGAAGAAGGAAGGCAACACAAAGCUGUUGUCCAACAAAAAAUUAUCGCAACUAGAACGGAUUGUUUCAGAGUGAGUGUGGGGGGGGGGGGUUGACUUGACUUGACUUGGACACACACGCACAGGAAAAGGAUUUGCCUGAUAUCUGAACUUUUUAUGAGGGGAUGAUAUAAAGAAAACUUUUAACAACGGAUCUCUAGAUC
rnacentral:misc_RNA from 1 species